rnacentral:lncRNA from 10 species
CACUGCCAGGCAAAAAAAAAUACACAGGGAAGUGAAUUUUCAUGAAAUGACAGCCUCUUAGUGUGUGACAAGUGACAACCUUUCCAUGCAUAGAGUUACUCUGCUCCAGCUUUAUAGUCCUUAGAACAAGACCGUGAGUACAAACACUCCAGCACAUGCCCAUGUCUUCAGAGAUUUGAAGUUCUAUUGGGGAAGACAAGUCCCAAAUGGUCCCUGUGCUUUGAGCUGAGUUGGAGGAAGAGUCGAUUCUCCUGGUGACCCAGCAGCUGUGCCAGCAGAUGAGCCUGAGCCCAUGACACAGCGGCACCCAUGUGAGGAGCAACGAGCUGGGGUCAUUUCCUCUCCUCUGAGGGGAGCCCAAGCAAGAGAUUCAUUAAUGAGAAUAAGAACUACAUCCUUCCUGCAGCCUUGGGACUGAAUACCAAACUGACUGCCACCACUCCUACAGUGAGGGGAUCCAGGGUGACUGAUUUCAACUCCGAGGCAGCACUCAGACAGCCUUUGUUGAAAGCAUUAAUUACUAAUUUCUUUCAUUCAUCCCCCUAUGUUAUAACCCCAAUUCUAGACAUCUGAGAAGGAAAAGCAAAGCACACAGAUGUGGACUCACCUCUUCCGCUGAAAUCUUUGUACGCCAUCCUCUUCCACCAAGAGCUCAGGGAAUUUGGGAGUCCUGAUGACCACGUUAAUGAGCAAAUGCUCAAGAUUCCCACUAGAUGUCAAGAAAACAAUAUUCUAUAACCUGCAGCAUAAUGUAUUUAUCUGCAGUAGUCCCAGCAGGGGAAUGAGAAUGUCGUGUUGCAGAAGAUGCCCGGUGGUGCACCCAGCAUUGAGAUGGUCAUGGUUUGGUAAAAAAGCAGAAAACUAGGAGCUGACACCCUAGAGCAAUGAUGGCAAAGCGCUGGCAGCUCUCACGAGAAGGAAUGAAUCCACAAAGCCAAUGGUGAUGGGAGGAACAGACCCCACCUAAGGCGUCUGUCCAGGCAGCAGCGUGACCCCUGGAGAGGCUGGCUCCAGUUACGGAAGUAGAGCACGGAACAUUCAGGGAAUUGGCACACAUAAGUUUGUGGAUGAGGCUGGGUGGGGUGGCUCACGCCUGUAAUCUCAGCACUUUGGGAGGCCCAUGCAGGUGGAUCACUUGAGGUUAGGAGUUCUGGCCUAUCCUGGCCAACAUGGUGAAACCCUGUCUCUACUAAAAAUACAAAAAUUAGCCAGGUGUGGUGGCAUGUGCUUGUAGUCCUAGCUACUCGGAAGACUGAGGCAGGAGAAUCUCUUGAACCCAGGAGCCAGGAGGCAGAGGUUGCAGUGAGCCAAGAUCUGCACUCCACUGCACUCCAGCCUGGGUGAGACAGUGGGACUCCAUCUCAAAAAAAAAAAAGAAGAUUGUGGGUGAAUGUCCAUGAUUCUCCAACACCCACUAAGGGUUGAUGGAGUCCAAGGGUGAGGCCCUGUCAGGUCUCACCUGCCCAGAGCCAGCAGUGAUCAGGCCAGUGAUGCGCUGUAAGGUGCGAUCAGGGACAGGAGACGUGCAACAGCAGCUGGGUCACACUUUCAGAUUUUGGUUACUACUUUUUCUCACUAAUUUUGUGAUUUAAGGGGAUAUUGAUGUCAUUUUCACUUAAGAGUCACUUUAGACAACAAUGGCUUUACAAUAGCCCAUAGUUGAUCUUUCCAAUUUAUUACUUAAAUAUUAUUAAGAAACAAAAUUUCCAAAUUGUGUUACAAUUUUACAUGAUAUUGAACUUCACAUUUAAAAAGGCAUUUCUUUUCUUGAGUGUUUGCAAAUCUCACAGCCCAUUGCUUUGGCUACUGUUUAUUAAGGAU